rnacentral:misc_RNA from 1 species
AAACAAUAUCAAUAUAUUGCUAUAAUGAAUAGUUUGGCAAUUUGUAUGGUUGAUAUUUUGACAAUUCAAGUCCGCGAUAACUAUCCAAGUCUUCUUUCUUACGCAAUACCAGUAGCUCCUCUCAACUCCCAACUCCAUUGGCUUUAAUCAAUCACUCUUCAGAGUAAAUCACAAGGCAGGUAAUUCUCACCGUUGUUCAUGGAGAAAAGACACUUCCGUGAAAUCCCAUAUUCUUUUUCGUCUCUUCUUUUUCUCCUCCACUUCUUAUCGCUUCAACUUCCCUCUUCAGCUUACACUCGCCCCGAAGAGUAUUUCAUCAGCUGUGGUUCAGACACCAAUAUAUCCUCCGCCGGCCGGACCUUCACCGGUGACUCAUCUUCUGGAAAUUCUCUUUCCUUCACCUUCAAAGGGCAGAGCAGCACUGUUAAAGAUAGCAACAGAUCAACAAAAACACCAUCUCUGUAUCAAACAGCUAGACUUUUCAGGGAAAAUUCAUUUUAUGAGUUCGAAAUCAGUACCUCUGGUACUUAUCUGCUACGCCUACACUUCUUUGCUUUCUCAUCCCCAGAUAAUCUCUCCGCAGCUCAUUUCGAUGUUUCGGCUUCUGGGUUUUCUUUGUUAAAGAAUUUUACUCUGCAAACCAGUAGCAGCACUCCCUUAAUAGAGGAAUUCUUUCUUAGCAUCAGUAUAGGCAAAUUCAGCCUAAAUUUCAUGCCUCAAGGAUCAUCAUCUUUUGCAUUUGUUAAUGCUUUAGAAGUGUUCCUUGCCCCGGAGGAUUUCAUUCCUAAUGAUGCUCCACACAUCAGUCGUGCAGGAAGGAGUAGCAACAAUAGUUAUGAGGGUAUACGCUCUGAGGCAUUACAAACAAUUCACAGGAUCAAUGUUGGUGGGAGUAACCUCACGCCGGAUAAUGACACUCUAUGGAGGUAUUGGGUUCCAGAUGAUAGUUACCUUUAUAAUCCAGUCACUGCCAAGAACAGCACUUUUCAUCCAGAUAGGCCUAAUUAUCUGGGAGGAAUCAACGAAUAUAUAGCUCCGGAUCUUGUCUACCAGACCGCCAAGGAGAUGAAUAUAGAUGGAAAUAGAACUUCAAAUACCUUCAAUGUAUCCUGGUCAUUCAAUGUCAGUAAGAAUGCAAGGCACUUUGUUCGGGUUCACUUCUGCGAUAUAAUUAGUCAAUCUCUUGGUGUUUUACGCUUUAAUCUCUUUAUCUUCAGCAACUACAGCAUUUUAAUUGAUCCCUAUGACAAAACUGGCCAAUUGGCAGCGCCUUUUUAUAUUGAUUUUGUUGUGGAUUCUGAUGAUUCUGGACUUGUGAAUUUUAGCAUAGGCCCUCGGGCUGAUUCUGAUGAAAAAACUGCCUUUUUGAAUGGUCUGGAAAUUUUGCAGAUUGUGGGAGAAUCGGGUUCAGUGUCAAGAAAACAUGAGCCGAACAAGACUCCUAUCUUUAUUGUUGUUGGUUCAGUUAUUGGAGGUAUAGGUCUCAGCUGCAUUUUGGCAGUUGUUAUAUGCCUGUGCUUGAGAUGCAGGAAACCAAAAACAGUCGAAAAUUGGGAGUGGUCCCCAAGGCCUGUACGUAGAGGGGGAAGUUCUCACAAUAGGAUGCCCGAGGGAAGCGUAAUAGGCUCCCGUGUACCUGACUUAAACCUAGGAUUAAAGAUAUCUUUUGCUGAAAUUCAGUUCGCGACCAACAACUUUGAUGUAAAAAUGAUAGUUGGUAAGGGUGGAUUUGGGCUUGUCUUUAGAGGAACUCUAAGGAAUGGAAUGAAAGUUGCUGUGAAGCGAAGUGAGCCAGGAUCAGGCCAAGGCCUUUCAGAAUUCCAAACAGAAAUUAUGGUGUUAUCCAAGAUUCGUCACCGCCAUCUUGUUUCCCUGAUUGGGUAUUGUGAUGAAAUGUCAGAAAUGAUAUUGGUUUAUGAAUUCAUGGAAAAGG